rnacentral:rRNA from 1 species
UACGUAGGGUGCGAGCGUUGUCCGGAAUUAUUGGGCGUAAAGAGCUCGUAGGCGGUCUGUCGCGUCUGCUGUGAAAACCCCGAGGCUCAACCUCGGGCCUGCAGUGGGUACGGGCAGACUAGAGUGCGGUAGGGGAGAAUGGAAUUCCUGGUGUAGCGGUGGAAUGCGCAGAUAUCAGGAGGAACACCGAUGGCGAAGGCAGUUCUCUGGGCCGUAACUGACGCUGAGGAGCGAAAGCGUGGGGAGCGAACAGG